rnacentral:rRNA from 1 species
UACGUAGGUCCCGAGCGUUGUCCGGAUUUAUUGGGCGUAAAGCGAGCGCAGGUGGUUUAUUAAGUCUGGUGUAAAAGGCAGUGGCUCAACCAUUGUAUGCAUUGGAAACUGGUAGACUUGAGUGCAGGAGAGGAGAGUGGAAUUCCAUGUGUAGCGGUGAAAUGCGUAGAUAUAUGGAGGAACACCGGUGGCGAAAGCGGCUCUCUGGCCUGUAACUGACACUGAGGCUCGGAAGCGUGGGGAGCAAACAGG